ACUCCUACGGGAGGCAGCAGUGAGGAAUAUUGGGCAAUGGGCGAAAGCCUGACCCAGCCACGCCGCGUGAGUGAUGAAGGCCCUCGGGUCGUAAAGCUCUGUGGAGAGGGACGAAAACCCUGGUUUCAAAUAGGCUCCAGGCUUGACGGUACCUCUUUAGCAAGCACCGGCUAACUCUGUGCCAGCAGCCGCGGUAAUACAGAGGGUGCAAACGUUGCUCGGAUUUACUGGGCGUAAAGCGCGUGUAGGCGGGCAUGUAAGUCGGACGUGAAAUCCCUGGGCUCAACCCAGGAACUGCGUUCGAAACUACAUGUCUAGAGUAGUGGAGAGGAAAGUAGAAUUCCCGGUGUAGAGGUGAAAUUCGUAGAUAUCGGGAGGAAUACCAGUGGCGAAGGCGGCUUUCUGGACACUUACUGACGCUGAGGCACGAAAGCGUGGGGAGCAAACAGGAUUAGAUACCCUGGUAGUC
rnacentral:rRNA from 1 species